CGUGUUGCUGGAGGUGUCGUCAGAGUAGCGUGGGAGACCAGAUCCUUAUCGCGUUUGUGGUUGGCUGUAGCAGAGCGGUGACUGCGGAUUACUUCUUGUGCCUCUCUUUCAACUUAUAACUUGUUUUGGCCAGUAAAGAGAAAAGGCGACAGGGAAUGGAGGAAGACCUUGUUAUAUACAUUGGUCAUCAUUCCACCCUAAUCCAUCUCUAGCACCCAGGCACACUCGCCCCCGCAACAAACUAACAACAUUUCAAAUUCCCCCGGGGCACCUCGGAGGACACUCCAUAGCCGCCGGUAACUUGACUGGAGACUUGAGACUGCUUUGCGCAAGGGUUUGCUGGCAGUCGCUAUGCACAUCAAAGAGAUAACAUAUUUGUUCAGCUUCACGACAGUUGGCUAUGGCAUCAGGCACUGUGUCUGGCCUACAUAGCAGGAAUAGAACAAACCCAAAAGAAGCCAAGCCCAUUCGCAUCAGCCACCAUUAUCCCGAAAUAGAGACCGAAAUCCUUCUUAUUUCUUCCGACAAGAAGUAGGAUUCCAGGUAGAGAGAGACUCAGGUGUGGCUUCGGUAACUAACGAAUCCUUCCAAAACUCUUCCGGAGAUCUUGAUGAUAAACUUUUCACUUCCUCCCGUUCAGGGAGCGGCGAACGCUUUGGAGGCUCGCAGUAAGCAUAUCCAUGUCAAGCAUCGCGAGCUGUCCAACCCUACGGCAAGGGUCAUCCGUCCGCCUGGCUAUCGAAACCGUAAAGUCAAUCAUUAUCAAAAUGAGACGAUAUAUCCGGUCCAACAUUAGCCGGUAUCAUCUCUACUCAGAGCUAAAAAAGCAUUGGCUCGAAGAUUUGUGGGCUAUGCACAUGAAAUCAUGCGCUUACUAGACGGAAAGGGCGGUCAGGUUGGUAAUAGGUCCCGAGGAUAUGCAUCUCAUCUUUGAGUUGUACCGAUGCCUAUCCAUGUUUAUAUCAACGGAACACACAAUCGUAUGGUUAGAACAACAGUAAUAAAAAGUAAUGUGAUCUGUACAGCGAAUGAACAUAGUGCUUGUGAG
rnacentral:sRNA from 1 species